rnacentral:lncRNA from 1 species
GAAAGAAUAAGUUAUUCGCAAAAUUGGGUGGAAUAAAAUUGCUUGAUAAACAUUAAUAAAUAAAUUUAAUAAAACAAUACAACCCAAUAAAUUAAUUAAUAUUAAUGAAAUCAAUUAUAAUUUGAAUAUGUAUUUUUGAAAAUAUCAAGAGUAUAAUUACAAUUUGAAUAAUUAAUUUUAAAAUUUAUCAAAUGUAUAUAUAUCGUUAUGUUUAUAAUUUUAAAGUUGAUAGUUUUAUAUAUUAAAUAAAAGGAAUAAAUCUCGAAAUUAUACAUAAACUUUGAUAUAAUAUACAAUUAUACAUAUGAACUUUAAUUUGAUACAAUUAUAUACGUGAAAUUUUAAUUGUUAUACUUAAAACUUUAAUUUUGAUUUAAUCAUACACAUUUAAAAUAAAUACAUCAAUUUAUUUUUAUAUUAAACAAAUAUAAUUAUUUAUGUCUGCAAUAUAUAAACUGUUGACACCAAUUUUUGAUAAAAACAGGGUCGACUUGAAAUUUGAAAAAAAGGGAGUCCCCAUCAAUCUUUUUUAUAAGGUGUGAUCGGAUCACCUUGAAAUAUGGUUGUUUUUAAAUAAACGAUUUGAUUUUAUUAAAACAACGAUUUUGGUCCACGAAAUUCAGAAAAAAAGGGUUCGGGAGUCGGUUAAGCACGAGGAAGGAUUAGCACACUCAAUGUGCCCAAAAAUUGGUACCUAGUUGAUUAGUUAAUGUCUUAAUGUCGAAGUUUGAAAACUUUGAAGAAUUUUAAAAAAAUUGAUCUUUAAAGAAAACUCGACUAAUCAUGGAUCGAAAUUUAUGAGGAUAUUUGGCUAUUUGGUCGAACGAGAAAUUGAAACCCAGCACAUUAGGGCACGUUCUCUCGAAUUUCCAAACGCAAGUAUUGCCUCACUUUGAAAUUUCGAAAGGAUAUUCGGCUAUUCGGUCAAACGAGAAAUCGAAACCCAGCACGUUAGGGCACGUUCUCUUGAAAUUACAAACGCGAAAUAUUGCCUUACUUUGAAAGUUUAAAAGGAUAUUUGACUAUUUGGUCGAACGAUAAAUCGAAACCCAACACGUUAGGGCACGUAUUCUCGAUUUUCUAAACGCGAAUAUUGUCUUAUUUGGAAAGUUUAAAAGGAUAUUUGGCUAUUUGGUCGAACGAGAAAUCGAAACCCAACACAUUAGGGCACGUAUUCUCGAUUUUCCAAACGCGAAAUAUUGCCUUAUUUGGAAAGUUUAAAAGGAUAUUUGGCUAUUUAGUCGAACGAGAAAUCGAAACCCAACACGUUAGGGCACGUUUUCUCGAUUUUUCGAACUCAAAAUAUUGCUUUAUUUAGAAAAAUCUUCCUUUUGAUGUUUGGUGUUAAUAAGCAUGACAAAACAAUAACGAAUAUGACAAGGUAAGCAUAGUAAUGUGAGUAACAACAAUAUAAUAGGCAAAAAGAAAUGACAAGGCGAUUACAUAAACAAAGCAAAUGAAUAAAUAGAUAGAACUAAAACAUUUUAGAAAAGUAAAAGUGUACAUGAAUAAAUAAAUAAACACCAAAUAACAAUGAUGGCAAUAAAUGAAAUAAAUAAAAUUAUGUAAAAAAAUAUGUAUGAAUGUAUAAUUUUAAGUUAUGAAAAUAAGUAAUAUAUUUACAUGUGUAGAUAGUUUUUUAUAAAAAUGCGUAUAUACAUAUAAAUUAAAAAAUGUCAAUAUUAUAAAACAUAUAGGUGCAUGUACAUAUUUUUUAGAAUGAUAAAACAAAAAAAUCUACAUAUUUAGAAUUGACAAAAUAUGUGCGUCGGUUAUGAGAACAUACGUAUGCAUGUAUAUUUUAAAAUUAUAAAAUAUAAAUACAUAUGUAUAUACAUUUAUAUAUGAAAAUAAGAAAUGCAUAUAAAUUAUAGAGUAUAAAAAUAUAUAUAAAUAUGUGUAUAUAUUAAUAAAAAAAAUCUGUAAGUAUAAUAUAAAAUAAAAAAUGUAAGUAUGUUCAUAUGUACAUUAUAAAAUGUAUAUAGGUAUACUUAUUUUUUAAGAUUAUAAAGUAUAUGCAAAAAGGAAUAUAUGUAUAUAUAUAUAUAUAUAUAAAUAUAUAGGAGUUAUAAAAUAUAAAACACAUGUGUACGUACAAAUAUAUAACAUAAAAUAUGUGCAUAUGUAUACUAUAAAAAUGUGUAUAUACAUGUAUAAUCAAAAUCUUAAAUAAAGAUGUAAAUAAACAGACAAAUAACUAAAUAAACAAAUAAAGAAUUAAGAGAAAGGGCUUAAUUGCAACCUAAAUUAAAUUAGCAGGAUAGAUUCGAAUAAAAAAGGAUAAAUAAAGGGGCCAAUUUCAAAUUCGCAAAAUAAAGAAGGGAUUAAUCGGGAAAAUAUCCCAUUACCCUCCUGUGCUGCGCCGAUUACACUAUGUUGCAAAAGCGGAGGGGCUGGACAUGAAAUUAGCCCCUAUCAACAAAGCAUGCGGAUCCUGGCUAUUGGGUCGGGUCGCGCGCGGAUCCUGAAGAGGGCUAAACGGCGCCGUUUCAUAUUUCUUUAAAAGCCAGACUUAUUUUUAGGUUUCAUUUUCUUCAAAGAACAACACAAAAAAAGAAGAAAUGGGGUUCCUUUUCUCUGCUAGGGUUCGAAACCCAGCAUGGGAACCCCGCCGCCAUCCGCCGUUCUUCCCUCGCAACGCCACCGAGGAUGACGGCCAGCGUCAUGCAGAACAAAGGGCUUCUGCCCUUUACCACCGAAAUAGGCGAGAAGAAAAUGAAAAAAAGAAAAAGAAGCCGUCCUCGUCCCUCGUUUCAACUCGUCUCCGACGACAGAGAUCAGGGCUCCGGCGAAGAGACCGUGGCGCUCAGGUAAGUUUUGGGUUUUUGUUGUUUUUAUUUCAGUAAAAUAAGAAAAAAUAAAAAAACAAUAACUAAAUAAAAAACAAAAUGAACAAAAAAUAUGUUAGAUCUAAGACAGAAAACGCAAUAUCACCUUAAGAAUGUUUUUCUCUUUUUUAUUUCGAUUUUUUCCCGAAGAAGAUCUACAGGAGUUUCGUUUUCGGCCUUUAUAGCCGAACUAGGGCUUGUUGAUCAUUAUAUUUUUGUCCUUUUCUAUUUGUUUUUUAUUCUUUGUCUACUGUCCCUAUUUUGUCUGUUUAUUUGUUGUAUUCUUUUUCUUUGCUGUUGUGUGUUGUUCUCUGUUUGCAGGCCAGAAGGCUGGUAAUUGGCGAGCAACGGCGCGGCGCUGGAGAAGGCCUGCAGACGUGCGGCGCCAUAGGGUUUGCUUCAGUGCUGAAUGGGGUUUAUUUUGGGCUAGGGUUUCUUCAUUUUUUGGGCCUGGGUAUUUUGUUUUCUGACUUGGGCCAUAUUAGGCCUGCUUCAAUGGACUGUGGUCUUUUAUUUAUUUUGUUUUAUUUGGCACUGGGCCCGACAAAUUUAGGCUUUUACGUAAACAUAUAAAAUGAUAUUAUAUCAAUAAUUAUUUUAAUAAUUUAUAAGAAUUAAAUAAAUCAAAAUUUAUAUAUAUAAUUACACAUUAAAUUAUAAUUCAUAUAUAGUUUUAAAAUUUAUAAUACAUAAAAAAAAUUUAAAUAUGAAAAUAAAAGUGGAAAAAUAAUUUCUGGGAUUUCUAAAAAGACCAUAAAUGUAAUAAUAUCAAUCAAUCCCGCAAAAAAAAAAAACAGCAAGUGGAAACACAUGGGCAAAAAACUGAUAGCGACCAGUUAAGAAAAGUAGCAAUCAAAUCAUGAAGUAUUAUAUAUAAUUUAACUUUUAUUUAAAAUUUUUAAUGUAUUAAAUAUAUUUUAAAGUAUGCAGGGCAACAAAUCAUGAAAUAUUUAUUACUUUAGAUAUAAGACAUGACUCAACAAUUUUUCAAUUUGAUAUUUUCGACAAAAACAAUCCUUGCAGCAAAAAUAAAAUCUCAGAUAGUAAAGAGAGAUUUAAA